UACGUAGGUGGCAAGCGUUGUCCGGAUUUACUGGGCGUAAAGAGCGCGCAGGCGGUCGUUCAAGUCGCGUGUGAAAGCCCCCGGCUCAACUGGGGAGGGUCACGCGAUACUGAUCGACUCGAAGGCAGGAGAGGGUAGUGGAAUUCCCGGUGUAGUGGUGAAAUGCGUAGAUAUCAGGAGGAACACCGGCGGCGAAGGCGGCCCUCUGGAUCGUUGCUGACGCUGAGACGCGAAAGCGUGGGGAGCAAACAGG
rnacentral:rRNA from 1 species